rnacentral:misc_RNA from 1 species
GGAAGCAAAAGUCGUAACAAGGUUUCCGUAGGUGAACCUGCGGAAGGAUCAUUAUUGUAUAACCGAGGUGCGAGGGCUGUCGCCGACCCGAAAGGUCGUGCACGCCCGAGUGCCCUCACACACAUCCAUCUCACCCCUAUGUGCACCACCGCGUGGGUCCCCCUUUGGCUUGUUCGGAGGGGGGCUUACGUUUUCACACAAACUUUGUAUGCAGUGUAGAAUGUAUUUUUUGUUUUUGCGAUCACGCAAUCAAUACAACUUUCAACAACGGAUCUCUUGGCUCUC